rnacentral:rRNA from 1 species
GAGUUUUGAUCAUGGCUCAGGAUGAACGCUAGCUACAGGCUUAACACAUGCAAGUCGAGGGGCAGCAGUGGUCUUAGCUUGCUAAGGCCGAUGGCGACCGGCGCACGGGUGAGUAACACGUAUCCAACCUGCCGUCUACUCUUGGACAGCCUUCUGAAAGGAAGAUUAAUACAAGAUGGCAUCAUGAGUCCGCAUGUUCACAUGAUUAAAGGUAUUCCGGUAGACGAGUGGGGAUGCGUUCCAUUAGAUAGUAGGCGGGGUAACGGCCCACCUAGUCUUCGAUGGAUAGGGGUUCUGAGAGGAAGGUCCCCCACAUUGGAACUGAGACACGGUCCAAACUCCUACGGGAGGCAGCA